AGAGUUUGAUCAUGGCUCAGGACGAACGCUGGCGGCGUGCUUAACACAUGCAAGUCGAACGAGAUCCACGGUGUAGCAAUACACCUGAAGAUCUAGUGGCGAACGGGUGCGUAACACGUGAGGAACUUGUCCCGGUCUCUGGGAUAACAGUUGGAAACGACUGCUAAUACCGGAUGACGUCGGAGCAUCGCAUGGUGCGCUGACGAAAGGGUUACUGGAUCGGGAGAGCCUCGCGGCCUAUCAGCUUGUUGGUGGGGUAACGGCCCACCAAGGCAUCGACGGGUAGCUGGUCUGAGAGGAUGAUCAGCCACACUGGGACUGAGACACGGCCCAGACUCCUACGGGAGGCAGCAGUGGGGAAUCUUGCGCAAUGGGCGAAAGCCUGACGCAGCAACGCCGCGUGCGGGAUGAAGGCUCUCGGGUUGUAAACCGCUUUCAGCAGGAACGAAAAUGACGGUACUGCAGA
rnacentral:rRNA from 1 species